UACGUAGGGUCCGAGCGUUGUCCGGAAUUAUUGGGCGUAAAGCGCACGUAGGCGGAUUGUUAAGUCAGGGGUGAAAUCCUGGAGCUCAACUCCAGAACUGCCUUUGAUACUGGUGAGCUUGAGUCCGGAAGAGGUGAGUGGAACUGCGAGUGUAGAGGUGAAAUUCGUAGAUAUUCGCAAGAACACCAGUGGCGAAGGCGGCUCACUGGCCCGGUACUGACGCUGAGACGCGAAAGCGUGGGGA
rnacentral:rRNA from 1 species